rnacentral:tRNA from 1 species
CAAAAAAUAGUUUAAGUAGAAUAUUAGUUUUGGGGAUUAUUGGUAUGUAUAAUUUACAUUUUUUUGA